AGGCGGGCCUCGGGGCCUGCAGCGGACCGGGGGCGGGGCUCCGAGGCCUGAGAGCGGCGACCGACUUCUCAGCAGCCUCGCCUGUCCGAUCCCGCCAGCCUCCUGAUGCUGCUCAAGGACAAUGACCGGCCUGAGCCCGUGCCCAGUGGGGUGCGCGAGCUCGCGCUCUUCCUGACCCCCGACCCCGGGGCAGAGGCAAGGGAGGUGGAGGCAGCCAUCAAGGGGAUGCUCCUCCUGCUAGAAGAGUUUUGCAGCCUGACGGACAUGAUCAGGAGCGACACUUCACAGAUCUUAGAGGAGAGCAUCCCACUCCUUAAGGCCCAAGGGACAGAAGUGCGGGGCAUCUAUGGCAAAGUGGACCGGCUUGGGGUGCACGCAGGAAAACAUGGUUUCCCCACGAGACAGCAGGCUCGGUCAGGCCUUUGCCCUCUCUUCCGAGACACUGAUGUGUCCUUGAGUGUUGGCGCUGGGCCCAGUGGAGAGUCCGGUUUUACCAACAGGCUGCCCUCCUUUCCUUCCCACCUGCUGACUGAUCAGUAG
rnacentral:lncRNA from 1 species